AUUCGUGCCAGCAGUUGCGGUUAUACAAAUAAUAUAAUUUAAUUUCGUCAGUAAUAAUUAAUUAUAAAUUAAGAAAUUUUAAAUUAAAAUUUAUAAGGUGAAAUUUUAAAUUUUAAGAAAAUUGAAGAUAAAUAAUGAAGUUAAAAAAUUUAAGUGAUAAACUAGGAUUAGAUACCCUAUUAUUUUAAAUGUAAUUUGAAAUACUAAAUUAGUAAUAGUUAUGUUCUUGAAAAUUAAAAAUUUUGGCGGUAUUUUAGUCUAUUCAGAGGAACUUGUUCUGUAAUUGAUAAUCCACGAUUUAAUUUACUUUUUUUUAGUUUACAUAUCGUCGUAAUUGAAUAUUUUAUAAGAAAUUUAAUAUUCAGGAUUUAUAAUAAUAAAAUAAAUCAGAUCAAGGUGUAGCGUAUAGAAAAGAAGAAAUGAGUUACAAUAAUAUAAAUUAGCGAUUAGUAUUUGUAAAAUACUAUGAAUAUGGAUUUGAAAGUAAAUUUAAUAAAUUAAUUAGAUUGAUUUAGCUCUAAGAUAUGUACACAUCGCCCG
rnacentral:rRNA from 1 species